CCUACGGGCGGCUGCAGUAGGGAAUAUUGGGCAAUGGGCGCAAGCCUGACCCAGCCAUGCCGCGUGAAGGACGAAGGCGCUUAGCGUUGUAAACUUCUUUUGUUGGGGAAUAAGGGCUUAAUAACUUUAGGUAUUGAAUGUACCCAAUGAAUAAGCACCGGCUAACUACGUGCCAGCAGCCGCGGUAAUACGUAGGGUGCAAGCGUUGUCCGGAUUUACUGGGUUUAAAGGGUGCGUAGGCGGUUUUAUAAGUCGGUGAUGAAAUGCAGGAGCUU
rnacentral:rRNA from 1 species